GACGAACGCUGGCGGCGUGCCUAAUACAUGCAAGUAGAACGCUGAAGAGAGGAGCUUGCUCUUCUUGGAUGAGUUGCGAACGGGUGAGUAACGCGUAGGUAACCUGCCUGGUAGCGGGGGAUAACUAUUGGAAACGAUAGCUAAUACCGCAUAAAAUUGAUUAUUGCAUGAUAAUUAAUUGAAAGAUGCAACUGCAUCACUACCAGAUGGACCUGCGUUGUAUUAGCUAGUUGGUGAGGUAACGGCCCACCAAGGCGACGAUACAUAGCCGACCUGAGAGGGUGAUCGGCCACACUGGGACUGAGACACGGCCCAGACUCCUACGGGAGGCAGCAGUAGGGAAUCUUCGGCAAUGGGGGGAACCCUGACCGAGCAACGCCGCGUGAGUGAAGAAGGUUUUCGGAUCGUAAAGCUCUGUUGUAAGAGAGGAACGGGUGUGAGAGUGGAAAGUUCACACUGUGACGGUAUCUUACCAGAAAGGGACGGCUAACUACGUG
rnacentral:rRNA from 1 species